UCCGUAGGUGAACCUGCGGAAGGAUCAUUACAGUAGUCACCCAGGUUGCCGCAAGGCCUCCUGGGUAACCUACCACCCUUUGUUUAUUACACUUUGUUGCUUUGGCAAGCCUGCCCUCGGGCUGCUGGCUCCGGCCGGCGAGCGCUUGCCAGAGGACCUAAACUCUGUUUGUCUAUACUGUCUGAGUACUAUAUAAUAGUUAAAACUUUCAACAACGGAUCUCUUGGUUCUGGCAUCGAUGAAGAACGCAGCGAAAUGCGAUAAGUAAUGUGAAUUGCAGAAUUCAGUGAAUCAUCGAAUCUUUGAACGCACAUUGCGCCCCCUGGUAUUCCGGGGGGCAUGCCUGUCCGAGCGUCAUUAUCAACCAUCAAGCCUGGCUUGUCGUUGGACCUCUACCGUUGAAAUAUAUGGCAGAUCCGAAAGAUAAUGACGGCGUCGUGUUUUGACCCUAGAUGCAACGAGCUUUUUUAUAGCACGCAUUGAAGUGGUCGGCCGACCCGGUCUUUAACCAUCAUUUUCUAAGGUUGACCUCGGAUCAGGUAGGAAUACCCGCUGAACUUAAGCAUAUCAAUAAGCGGAGGA
rnacentral:rRNA from 1 species